CAGCCGCCGCGGGAAUACAGAGGGUGCGAGCGUUAAUUGGAUUUACUGGGCGUAAAGCGUGCGUAGGCGGCUUCUUAAGUCGGAUGUGAAAUCCCUGAGCUUAACUUAGGAAUUGCAUUCGAUACUGGGAAGCUAGAGUAUGGGAGAGGAUGGUAGAAUUCCAGGUGUAGCGGUGAAAUGCGUAGAGAUCUGGAGGAAUACCGAUGGCGAAGGCAGCCAUCUGGCCUAAUACUGACGCUGAGGUACGAAAGCAUGGGGAGCAAACAGGAUUAGAUACCCGGGUAGUCCCUGUCUCUUAUAC
rnacentral:rRNA from 1 species